rnacentral:rRNA from 1 species
UACGUAGGUGGCAAGCGUUGGCCGGAAUUAUUGGGCGUAAAGCGCGCGCAGGCGGUCCUUUAAGUCUGAUGUGAAAGCCCACGGCUCAACCGUGGAGGGUCAUUGGAAACUGGGGGACUUGAGUGCAGAAGAGGAGAGUGGAAUUCCACGUGUAGCGGUGAAAUGCGUAGAGAUGUGGAGGAACACCAGUGGCGAAGGCGACUCUCUGGUCUGUAACUGACGCUGGGGCGCGAAAGCUAGGGGAGCGAACGGG